rnacentral:rRNA from 1 species
UACAGAGGUCUCAAGCGUUGUUCGGAUUCAUUGGGCGUAAAGGGUGCGUAGGUGGCGCUGUAAGUCGGGUGUGAAAUUUCGGAGCUUAACUCCGAAACUGCAUUCGAUACUGCGGUGCUUGAGGACUGGAGAGGAGACUGGAAUUUACGGUGUAGCAGUGAAAUGCGUAGAGAUCGUAAGGAAGACCAGUGGCGAAGGCGGGUCUCUGGACAGUUCCUGACACUGAGGAGCGAAAGCGUGGGUAGCAAACAGG